CAGUAGGGUGCCAUCAAGAGGUGUAUUUGGAAAUAUCCCUAAUACAGGAUCACACA
rnacentral:rRNA from 1 species